AUAAUCUAUUUAACAACUCAACUCAUCAAAUGAAAUGAGUUAUGGAUUGACCCAACCCUUUUAACAAAAUGAGUUGGGUCAACCCAUAACUCAUUUGAUUAUGAAUUGAGUUGAGUUGGGUU